rnacentral:rRNA from 1 species
GCUCAGGAUGAACGCUGGCGGCGUGCUUAACACAUGCAAGUCGAACGAGGAGAGAUGAGAAGCUUGCUUCUUAUCAAUUCGAGUGGCAAACGGGUGAGUAACGCGUAAGCAACCUGCCCUUCAGAUGGGGACAACAGCUGGAAACGGCUGCUAAUACCGAAUACGUUCUUUCCGCCGCAUGACGGAAUGAAGAAAGGGAGGCCUUCGGGCUUUCGCUGGAGGAGGGGCUUGCGUCUGAUUAGCUAGUUGGAGGGGUAACGGCCCACCAAGGCGACGAUCAGUAGCCGGUCUGAGAGGAUGAACGGCCACAUUGGGACUGAGACACGGCCCAGACUCCUACGGGAGGCAGCAGUA